rnacentral:rRNA from 1 species
GACGAACGCUGGCGGCGUGCUUAACACAUGCAAGUCGAACGGAAAGGCCCUGCUUUUGUGGGGUGCUCGAGUGGCGAACGGGUGAGUAACACGUGAGUAACCUGCCCUUGACUUUGUGAUAACUUCAGGAAACUGGGGCUAAUACCGGAUAUGAGCUCCUGCUGCAUGGUGGGGGUUGGAAAGUUUCGGCGGUUGGGGAUGGACUCGCGGCUUAUCCGCUUGUUGGUGUGGUAGUGGCUUACCAAGGCUUUGACGGGUAGCCGGCCUGAGAGGGUGACCGGCCACAUUGGGACUGAGAUACGGCCCAGACUCCUACGGGAGGCAGCAGUGGGGAAUAUUGCACAAUGGGCGGAAGCCUGAUGCAGCAACGCCGCGUGCGGGAUGACGGCCUUCGGGUUGUAAACCGCUUUCGCCUGUGACGAAGCGUGAGUGACGGUAAUGGGUAAAGAAGCACCGGCUAACUACGUG